UCCAGGCAUCACUGUGCUUUGGGCGCCAGCCCCAGUAAGUGAAGUGCAGCUCUGAAAACCAUGAAGGCACGAUCCCCAAGCAGCCCUGUUCAGAAGAGCUGCCCUGCUGGAGCGCUGACUGCUGUGAGGCCUGCAGGGCCCUGCCUGCAGCCCCUCCUUGGAACCAGUACUGGAUCCACCAUUCAGAAGCAGACAAGACUACAAACCCACCUCAACAGCCACUUGCCCAGGCCAUCUGCACCCUCUGUGGACCCUGCUACCCUCACAAGAACUGCAUCCCAUGUCAUGUUGAUGUAGAAAUACCUUUGCUCUCCGUGAAAUGUCUAUUGAUGAUACCUUAAUUAUCUUUUCAAAGAAGUACGUUUUGCUGAGAUAAUAUUUUGAAAAAGCCCAACAUUUCACUUUGUGUCCAGCACUCAUUGACAAAGCUGGUUAAAAUAACAGAGGAAGAUGUCUGGUGUGUAAGGCUGCAAAAGGAUUUUGGAGAUGCUCAUUCAUCCACUGGAACUGCCAAGACCCUAUCUCAAUCAUAUAUGCUCAAGAUCUGGCCUUCAAAAGUGGAAUCUAAAAAUCUUAUUGUUCACUUAGGCCAUGUACAGAUACGUCGUGCUGGAAUCCAGGAAAACAAGGACAUUAUGACAGCAAUUGCAGAAUAUCCAAGUGAUGAGCUGGUGAAGAAAAGGUGCAGUUGCAUGAAUCCACUGAACUGUCCUACCUCUGAGUGCUGUUCACAGAAUGCCACCAGUCUGAGACAUUCACCCACUUUCCAGGUAAGGUACUCUACAUCUCACUCCCAAGGUUUCCUCUCUUUCUAGCCUAGAAGAGCCACACUUUUUCAUGAGCUGAGAUUAAUUCUCCAGGUGGCAAUAUCAUACCCUCUUGAACUGGAUUUUCUUCCCACAGCUAAAUGUAACAAUGUGUUACAGCAAAGAAUUAGGAGCACCACUGAAUGUCUACGCUCACUUAUUUUAGUCCUCCCUGCUCCUGAAAAGAGCCAGCCUCCUACUGACCCAGAAAUCCCAAACCCAACACACUCCCUGAUCACUGAGUCAGAAUGCUUCAUUUGCUCAGUGCAUUGCUAUAAGUCCAAAACUUCAAGCUGCUUUUAAUUGAUAUCCAAGUAAAAAUAUCAUCUCCUUCCUUUCCUUGCAGCCAGGGGUUUAUGUUUUGAUUUUUUUCCACCCAAUAAAAUGAAAUAGAAGUCUUGUUUAGAACCCUGU
rnacentral:lncRNA from 1 species